rnacentral:tRNA from 1 species
AGACUUAGGUUAAAACAAACCAGGAGCCUUCAAAGCCCCAAACAAGAGAAAACUCUUAGUCCCUG